GGCGGCCUGCCUAAUACAUGCAAGUCGAGCGAAUGGAUUGACAGCUUGCUCUCAAGAAGUGAGCGGCGGACGGGUGAGGAACGCGUGGGUAACCUGCCCAUAAGACUGGGAUAACGUCCGGGAAACCGGGGCUAAUACCGGAUAAUAUUUUGAACUGCAUGGUUCGAAAUUGAAAGGCGGUUUCGGCUGUCACUUAUGGAUGGACCCGCGUCGCAUUAGCUAGUUGGUGAGGUAACGGCUCACCAAGGCAACGAUGCGUAGCCGACCUGAUAGGGUGAUCGGCCACACUGGGACUGACACACGGCCCAGACUCCUACGGGAGGCACCAGUAGGGAAUCUUCCGCAAUGGACGAAAGUCUGACGGAGCAACGCCGCGUGAGUGAUGAAGGCUUUCGGGUCGUAAAACUCUGUUGUUAGGGAAGAACAAGUGCUANUUGAAUAAUCUGGCACCUUGACGGUACCUAACCAGAAAGCCACGGCUAACUACGUGCCAGCAGCCGCGGUAAUACGUAGGUGGCAAGCGUUAUCCGGAAUUAUUGGGCGUAAAGCGCGCGCAGGUGGUUUCUUAANUCUGAUGUGAAAGCCCACGGCUCAACCGUGGAGGGUCAUUGGAAACUGGGAGACUUGAGUGCAUAAGAGGAAAGUGAAAUCCAUGUGUAGCGGGGAAAUGCGUAAAAAUUUGGACGACCACCAGUGGCGAAGGCGACUUUCUGGUCUGGAACUGACACUGAGGGCCCAACGCGGGGGGCACAAACAGGAUUAAAUACCCUG
rnacentral:rRNA from 1 species